CCCUUAGACGUUCUGGGCUGCACACGCGCUACACUGAAGGGAUCAGCGUGUUCUUUUCCUGGUCCGAAAGGAUCGGGUAACCCGCUGAACCCCCUUCGUGGUAGGGAUCGGAGCUUGCAAUUAUUCUCCGUGAACCAGGAAUUCCCAGUAAGCGCAAGUCAUAAGCUUGCGUUGAUUACGUCCCUGCCCUUUGUACACACCGCCCGUCGCUACUACCGAUUGGACGUUUUAGUGAGGAUUUUGGACUGAGCCAAUGGUGGUUCACACCACUGUUGUGCAUGGAAAGAUCUCCAAACUUGAGCGUUUAGAGGAAGUAAAAGUCGUAACA
rnacentral:rRNA from 1 species